rnacentral:rRNA from 1 species
UACAGAGGUCUCAAGCGUUGUUCGGAUUCAUUGGGCGUAAAGGGUGCGUAGGCGGCGCGGUAAGUCGGGUGUGAAAUCUCGGAGCUUAACUCCGAAACUGCAUUCGAUACUGCCGUGCUUGAGGACUGGAGAGGAGACUGGAAUUCCUGGUGUAGCGGUGAAAUGCGCAGAGAUCAUGAGGAAGACCAGUGGCGAAGGCGGGUCUCUGGACAGUUCCUGACACUGAGGCACGAAGGCCAGGGGAGCAAACGGG